CAGAUCGAUGUCGUGCCUGAGGCAGGGUACCUUGUGCCACCAGAGGUGGCAGAAAGCUUGAAGGAAUUGCUGCGUGGCAGGCAGGACAAUACAGCUGGAGCCUGGAUGCAGUUGCCCAUCUGAGAGCACACCAUUGCUCCCGGGAAACUCUUCAAGGGAAAAAAAUAAAUGCUGAAAAUGCCAGCGCAGCCAUUUUCUGCACUAUUUCCUUCUCCAAGCACCAUCUCCUCAUGCAGCGACAGCAGUUUAUGAACGGUUCCACUUCACGUGUUCCUCUUCACGCCGACGCUCGCGCCCCGAGACCGAGCAUCUCUGCAGAAUAGACGGCGGGAAGAGGUUGGAGACAGGAGCGUGAGCGUAGGGAAGAAGCACAGCAAAUCAAUAUUUCCUGAAGUAUUGCGAUACUUGCCCUGAGCUGAGCAGAGCUCCACUAGGAUUUUAGUUUACAGACAAUUUGAAUUCCAUUCAUCCUGAAUGAACCACGCAGGAAAACGGAGCAAUUCACAGAGCAUUUUCCCAGUUUACAGACGGUUUCAGUUGAAAAACUUCGAUGAAUGCCAUAUAAAAUCAUUUGUCUGUAUCACCCCGAUCCACCUCAUUUUCAUAAUAAAGCCAUCAGAGGGAGUGCGCAGCUGAGCCGAAUAAACUCUGCCCAUAUCCCAUUGUGGGUGAAAAAUUACCGGUGAUUCCCAUUGUUCUUUGCAAAGUGUCGCUUUGUCGCUGUCGUCACACAAGAUCGGGGUGGGUGGUCCUCCAGGUCUCACAAAUGACUGAAACCCCUGUCUCCAGCUGCAUACCCAACCACCUCACGAACAGAUGACCUCAUGUGAUGGAUAUGGCAGAGACUGGCCUAACACAGUGGCCUGUCGGUGCCUGCCUCUAAGUUGCCACUGAAGGCCGUGUCUUCUGGAAGCGGUUGCCCUCAGCCAGACGGGAUGCCACCACCUGCCUGCACCACCUCUGCAUAGGAGACCGGACCCAGGGCUGCGCCGCUGGUGUAGGAGAAGAUGCACCACAGCAGGAGGACAUGGAAGGACCAAAGGAGUGAAUGUCAUAUGCGGUUUGUGCUGUUCCUUCUAGGUUUUUUCCCUAUUGCCUUCUCAACAGCAGUUAUAUGUUUAGGUGCAGUAUGCAUGGUCACAGGGAACUUCAACAGAGCUCUUCCCUGUUUUUAUUUUUUUGUCUCCUAAACCACCUGGAUCCCAAUUUAUGUGUGCCUUUUUCCCUAAUGCACUCCAGCAGAGUUACUUUGAUCCUGCCCAGUGG